rnacentral:tRNA from 1 species
ACUAUUUUGGCAGAAUUUAGUGCGAUAAAUUUAGAAUUUAUUUAUAUAGAUAAAUCUAUAAAUAGUA